GAGCCUGUUUCCCUAAAGAUCUUUCCUGUUUCUCCUUUAUCCUCAACUCAUUCAAAAGGUCCUAUUGUAACUCACUGUAUUUUAUUCAAUGUCCCUACUACCGUCACAGCCUGAGAAGGAAUGAUUAACAUUUUUAUCCACUAUGUUAGUUCUCAAGUCUAUAGAAAUUUUUAUUUAAUUUAUUUUAUUGCUCUACCUAAUCAUUUAUGUAUUUAUCUAUUAAUUUGCCAAUACAUCAUUUCCACAAUCCUGGCUUAUUCUUUCUUUCUUUAUUUAUUUAUUUAACCUUAGAACCCAUAAUUUAUUUUCAAUUUGUUCAGAUGUUUUAUUGUAUCAGGAUUCUAUCUUUCAAUAACCUUCCAAUCUUUACACUGCAGGUCACACUAACUGCUGUUAUUGCCUAAUUUUAAUAAUUUAGUCCAGUUUAACACAUAGGGUGUUCUAAAAACUGGAAAUUGUUACACCACGAGACAGCACUAAAAAAAUAUACUCUGUAGAGUAAUUUCUACUUCAACUUGGUGUCCCAAGUGAGAAAUUCUUGCCUAUGGCAUCUGCUGACAGAGGUGCUGUUUACAUUCCCGUUGUAUUUAAAUGACAUAAAAUACCAAGUGGUAUCCUAUCUCCAAUCAUACAAUCUUUCACACCAACAUGAAUUACACCACAAACGAAGACAUACAACACAAACACAACACAUCUGGCCAGUUUUAUAGUCAGUCCAAAUUUCCUCAGUCUGU